AGUGAACGCUGGCGGCGUGCUUAACACAUGCAAGUCGAACGGUAGCAGAUAGAAGCUUGCUUCUAUGCUGACGAGUGGCGCACGGGUGAGUAAUGUAUAGCUAACGUGCCCCUUAGGGGGGGAUAACAGCUGGAAAAGGCUGUUAAUACCCCAUACUCAUUCUAUCUUACUUAUAGUUGGGAAAUAGUUUUUCGCUAAGGGAUCGGGCUAUAUGGUAUCAGCUAGUGGGUGAGGUAAUGGCUCACCAAGGCAAUGACACCUAGCUGGUCUGAGAGGAUGAUCAGCCACACUGGAACUGAGACACGGUCCAGACUCCUACGGGAGGCAGCAGCGGGGAAUAUUGCACAAUGGGGGGAACCCUGAUGCAGCAACGCCGCGUGGAGGAUGACACAUUUCGGUGCGUAAACUCCGUUUAUAUAGGAAGAUAAUGACGGUACUAUAUGAAUAAGCACCGGCUAACUCCGUGCCAGCCGCCGCAGUAA
rnacentral:rRNA from 1 species